rnacentral:precursor_RNA from 1 species
UGAUGAAAAAAAGUCAAGAUUAGAUCUAAUCUUGACUUUUUUUCAUCAAAAUAUGUUUU